ACAUUUAGUUCAGAGGAUCUCAUUCUCGAUUGUUCUAAUUCUCGAAUCUUCUCACUCUCCAGCCCUAACCUUCUCCUCCUUUCUCUUCUCACUCUCCAGCCUAACAUUCUCCCUGCACUCUCUUCUUCCCCCACACUCGUUCUCUCUGCACUCUCGAGCCCAGUCUGCUUUCCCUCGCACUCGUUUGCAGUCGUUUGGCGGGAAGCGUAACCUCGCACAAUCGUUCUCCUUACGAGAGCUCACAGUCGUGUGACGGGAACCUUUUGUUUCCUUCUGCCGAACCACCAUCCUCCCUCAUUGGAACCGUAUAUUGACACAUUGGAGGCAUCGUUUUCCCUGAGUCGAACCGUAGUUGUCCUCCUACUCGAACCCCGGUUUGAAAUUGCGAUUAAGGAAACCCUAGGUUGGUUUCUUCGAUCUGGAAGAUAUAAGUUCGAGCUGCCAUUGUCUUCUACACGUGCCUCAGGGAAUACCAGAUAACGGGUAUUUAUGGCAGAGAGUUAAUUCCCAGUUAAGCUCCCCUAGCCAGCCAUAUUCUUUGAGAGAGGCUCUAGCUCAAGCACAGUCUUCUAGGAUUGGAGCUUAUGCUCAAGCACUUUGAGAAUCUUUACAUCCACUUUUGAGACAGAAAUUGAUUGAUUACAUCAUGAGUUCUUCAAUCUUGUGAGCCUGUUCAAUAAGACCAGCUUUGCAAAAGCUAUAAAUUAAAAUAGUAUAAGUAUUAACACUGGGAGCAAUGUUUUAUCAAACUUUCCAUCUCUAUAAAGACACCAUGCAAAA